rnacentral:rRNA from 1 species
CGCAUCUGUGCAUGCAGCAUAUCAAUAAGCGGAGGAAAAGAAACUAACAAGGAUUCCCCUAGUAACGGCGAGUGAAGCGGGAAGAGCUCAAAUUUGAAAUCUUAAAGGGUUUCCCUUUACGAAUUGUAGUUUAAAGAAGUGUUUUCUGUUGAGGUUUUGGUAAAAGUUCUUUGGAAUAGGACAUCAUAGAGGGUGAGAAUCCCGUAUUUGACCUUUACUUUCAACUUUGUGAUACACUUUCAAAGAGUCGGAUUGUUCGGGAAUGCAGUCCAAAAUGGGUGGUAAAUUUCAUCUAAAGCUAAAUAUUGGCGAGGAGACCGAUAGCGAACAAGUACCGUGAGGGAAAGAUGAAAAGAACUUUGAAAAGAGAGUUAAACAGUACGUGAAAUUGUCAAAAGGGAAGCGUUUGACACCAGUGUUGUUUUUCUGAAAAUCAAUUAAAGAACUGUUUAUGCUAAGUUGUUUAGACUUUAUCAGCUAACUGUUUAGUUUUGAGCUUUUCCUUAAUGCACUUUUCAGUUAACAAGUCAACAUCAAUUUCUUUUGCUGUAAAAAAGCUUGAGGAAGGUGGCUUGAGAUUCGUCUUAAGUGUUUAUAGCCUCUUGCCUAUGCAGUCGGAGAGAUUGAGGUCUGCAGCGUAGAUCCUUCGGGGCUAAAUGCAUUUGUGCUAAGUUAUAGCAUUUUAUAGACAACUUGUUGACUAUGAUUUGUCUUGUAGCUUACUCGCUUAUGUUAUUUUACCUACGCUUAGGAUGUUGAACGCGCACAGAGUCUC